rnacentral:tRNA from 1 species
GCCUGGGUGGCUCAGUCGGUUGAGCGUCCGACUUCGGCUCAGGUCACGAUCUCAACGGCUCGUGGGUUCGAGCCCCGCGUCAGGUU